CGGUGAAGGAUCGUCGAAGCACAUGUCACGUGACGGACCGGAAGACAACGCUAGUCUUUUAUUGAAGAAUUUAUGAUCUUUAAAUGUUUUCAUGUUUUUUUUUUUGCUGAGAAAACAACAGACCAACAAACUAUCAAAGAAAGUGACAUCUACAACUAAAAAUACGAGAAAGUCGCAUCAGAGCAAAGAUAGUUAAAUUUC
rnacentral:lncRNA from 1 species